CCUACGGGAGGCAGCAGUGAGGAAUAUUGGUCAAUGGGCGCGAGCCUGAACCAGCCAAGUAGCGUGAAGGAUGACUGCCCUACGGGUUGUAAACUUCUUUUAUAAAGGAAUAAAGUGAGGCACGUGUGCCUUUUUGUAUUAACUUUACCAAUAUGAUCGGCUAAAGCCGGGUCCGCAGCCGCGGCAAUACGGAGGCUCCGAGGGUUAUCCGGAUUUAUUGGGUUUAAAGGGGACGUAGGUGGGUUGUUAAGUCAGUUGUGAAAGUUUGCGGCUCAACCGUAAAAUUGCAAUUGAUACUAGCAGCCUUGAGUACAGUUGAGGUAGGCAGAAUUCGUGGUGUAGCGGUGAAAUGCUUAGAUAUCACGAAGAACUCCGAUAGCGAAGGCAGCCUACUAAACUGCCACUGACAUUGAUGCUCGAAAGUGUGGGUAUCAAACAGGAUUAGAUACCCUUGUAGUC
rnacentral:rRNA from 1 species